rnacentral:rRNA from 1 species
CGAAAGCCUGACGGAGCAAGACCGCGUGAGGGAGGAAGGCCCUUGGGUUGUAAACCUCUUUUCUCAGGGAAGAAAACUGACGGUACCUGAGGAAUCAGCCUCGGCUAACUCCGUGCCAGCAGCCGCGGUAAUACGGAGGAGGCAAGCGUUAUCCGGAAUUAUUGGGCGUAAAGCGUCCGCAGGGGGCGCAUCAAGUCUGCUGUUAAAGGUCGGAGCUAAACUCCGGUAGAGCAGUGGAAACUGGUGCGCUAGAGGGCGACAGGGGUAGAGGGAAUUCCCAGUGUAGCGGUGAAAUGCGUAGAGAUUGGGAAGAACACCGGUGGCGAAAGCGCUCUACUGGGCCGCACCUGACCCUCAGGGACGAAAGCUAGGGGAGCG